rnacentral:sRNA from 1 species
GUUGCUUAGUGGUUUAUACUUCCAGACUUGGGCUCACACACUUUUGAGGGGAAAUGUCAUUACCAGAUGACUGCUAAUCUGUUUACUUGUUGCAGAUGACCUGGGCCCCUUCUCAGAGCUUCAGAACCGGGGUUCCCGACACUCAGGCCCCUUCUUUACCUUCUCUUCCUCCUUCCCUGGGCACUCCGAUUUCUCCUCCUCAUCUUUCUCCUUCAGUCCUGGGGCUGGUGCUUUUCGCUCUGUUUCUACAUCUACCACCUUUGUCCAAGGACGCCGCAUCACCACACGCAGAAUCAUGGAGAAUGGGCAGGAGCGGGUGGAAGUGGAGGAGGAUGGGCAGCUGAAGUCAGUCACAAUCAAUGGUGUCCCAGAUGACCUGGCACUGGGCUUGGAGCUGAGCCGUCGCGAGCAGCAGCCGUCAGUCACUUCCAGGUCUGGGGGCACUCAGGUCCAGCAGACCCCUGCCUCAUGCCCCUUGGACAGCGACCUCUCUGAGGAUGAGGACCUGCAGCUGGCCAUGGCCUACAGCCUGUCAGAGAUGGAGGCAGCUGGGAAGAAACCCGCAGAUGUGUUCUGAGCUGGAUGCCGGGAUCCAGAAUCGCUGCACAGUUCCAACAGGACAGCGCCUUCCCCCAUGCGCUGGGAGGGGACCCUCCAUUUCUCCCCCUCACCCAUGCUGAGUGUAGAGCCGGGGCCUGGGUGGUGGGCAGGGGCUGGGUGGGAGGUGGCAGUAGUCUUAGCCUGUGCACUCUCUUCCUUGGGUGUUUGGUGCUGGCUCCUGGGGACUACAAAUCCCAGAGUGCGGUGUGCCCGGCCUCAUUUCUGAUAGAUCCCGCUUGGGGGAGGUGGUGUGUGGUUACGGAGCUGUGCAUCUUGGGACAUGUAGUAGCCCAGGUCGGCUUGUCACUCGCUGUGAGAUGGGGAGAUUUUGUCUUUUGAUUUAUCCCUGUAGGGCUGGCAGGGUUGUAGAUGAAGGGGGAAUGAUCUGAGCCUUGGUUCCCCUGACACAUCUUGCUAGCCCCAGGGUUAGAGUGGGCAGGGCAGAGCCGCGCAGCACCUGGGAGCGGUACCUUUCCCUUGGGCAGCCUGGGGUCCCAGGAACAAGCCAGGGCGAGUAGCAUGUCUGCCUGAGCAGGGUGUGGCUCCAGAAGGCUGAGGAGUGUGGGCUGGCAGAGAGCUUCGAGGGCAAGGCCACCCGCGGGGGCGUGUGUGUGGUGGGGCUUGGCAUGUGAUGGCAGCUCCAGGCAUGCCGCUGCUUGUAUGGCUUUCUUUGGCCUCUGACCCUGCUGCCCAUUCUUUCCAACAUCACAGAUGAACUGCCUCUCCUCCUCCCUGCCUGGGGAGCCCAGUGGCCAGGGAGGGGAGUGGUGGAGCCAGUCGCUGUAACACUGAGCUUCAGAGACGAACCAAAACCAGCUG